GCGCUUGCCUGAAGUCUUCGGGCCCUAGUUUAGUAAUGAAUUAAGGAAAAUCGGGUGAACUCGGGGAAAACCUCAUAUUAACUAAUGAGAUAACCGCGAGCCAAGCUCCGGUGGACAGUGGUACCGGAGAAGGUGUAGAGACUAGCGAGUGAGUUCCAACAAUAACCUCGCAUAAGCGCCCGACACCCUAUGUAGGGUGAUGAGAUAGUCCAACUCAAUGGAAGAGCAAG
rfam:Parcubacteria bacterium GW2011_GWA2_46_10 TX29_C0017, whole genome shotgun sequence.